rnacentral:rRNA from 1 species
GAUGAACGCUGGCGGCGUGCCUAAUACAUGCAAGUCGAGCGAACAGACGAGGAGCUUGCUCCUCUGACGUUAGCGGCGGACGGGUGAGUAACACGUGGAUAACCUACCUAUAAGACGGGGAUAACUUCGGGAAGCCGGAGCUAAUACCGGAUAAUAUAUUGAACCGCAUGGUUCAAUAGUGAAAGACGGUUUUGCUGUCACUUAUAGAUGUAUCCGCUCCGCAUUAGCUAUUUGGUAAGGUAACGGCUUACCAAGGCAAGGAUGCGUAGCCGACCUGAGAGGGUGUUCGGCCACACGGGAACUGAGACACGGCCCAGACUCCUACGGGAGGCAGCAGAAGGGAAUCUUCCGCAAUGGGCGAAAGCUUGACGGAGCAACGCCGCGUGAGUGAUGAAGUUCUUCGGAUCGUAAAACUCUGUUAUUAGGGAAGAACAAAUGUGUAAGUAACUAUGCACGUCUUGACGGUAACUAAUCAGAAAGCCACGGCUAACUACGUG